rnacentral:tRNA from 1 species
UUUUUAAGUGGUGUAAUUAAACACUUAACAUUUUCGUUGUUAUAAUCUUUUUAAGCUUAAAUAA